GUAUGAGGAUAAAAGCAGAUGGCAGUAGGGGCGGAUAAAAGAAAAAUUAAAUUACACUUCAGAAAGCAGGCUGUAUUGAACCCAUCAACAGCAAAUAACAAAACACUUUUUACUGUAUUUGAAAGUUGCCAUCCUGAUAUCUUAUCAGAUCCUACAAAGAAAAUCAUUUUUGAGCCCUCUAAGCAUUGGGGUGGGGGUGGCGGUUUGGAACUGUAUAGGGUUGGCGUGGCGGACUUGAGGAGGGACGGUUGGGACUUCCUGGCAUUAAAAUUAAAUUAAAUUUUAAUUCCCGGCCGAAUUAAAAUUGCUCCUCGCACGCCCGUUUUUCCAUUAAUGAGGGUUGGGGCUUCUCCCUCACGUUCAUUGACUGAAUGGCUGAUGGAACGAAUGAAUGACUGAAGCCCAGCGUGCAAGAAAAACGGAAGUGAGAUUCCAACAGGAGGGCACCACUGUCCCUGUCUGACCUUAAACCAGGAGAUUUUGUACAGAUGUAUUCCUUCAAGAAAACCAGCUUGUUGGCAGUAAUAGAGAAGAAAUGAGCUUCUCCCAACAACAGCCAACAACAGCCAAUGACAACAGCAAAAUAGGAAAAAGGGUUGCCCUCUGAAAGGUAAAUAAACUCUAUACACAAUAAAUGACCAUCUGUGGAAGUAAAACCGAGAGACAGGCUUUACCACCUCCCAGAACUCCAAUCCAGAUGACCACGGAUAAAUCUCUAGCACGCGGAAUAGAGAUGUCACGGCUGUUAGGUAAGCAGAGAGUAAUGCAGGGUAUAUAUUCCUGGAAGAGAACAGGGUUAGUCAAACUGGAUCUCAGAAAAGGGAGCUGCUGUACAAGACAUUCUAGGAAGCAAGCCUCUGAAUUCUGAAACCCAGACCUGCUGGUCACGGUGGGGCAGGGAUGAUCUUCCAAGCUUCCCUGCGGUCUGCAUGAAAUUCUCUCACCCACACCAGCUUCCUGUGCUCCAAUUCCAUGCCUCUGACUGGUUUCCACUUAAGAAUUAAUGGGUAAAAAGGAAAAAGAAUUAGUAGUAUGAUCUUGUUGCUUCCCCAGAGUCAUCAAUAAAAAGGCAGAACAGAGAGAAAACAAAACAAAACAAAGUUAUACCAGGAGACAGAACUGGGAGAUCUCAGAUCGUCUUCUCUGUGAAUCGGGUGUUGCUACUGAAGCCGUGAUAAUCCUGGUCACCUGAGGCAGAAAAUAAACAUUUCUUCCUACAAAGAAUGUGGGCAUUUUCCAGUGGGAUUUGUGAGCCAGCAAAGACUUAGCAGCAGUUUCUUCACUGCCAAAAAUCUCUAACUUUCCAUGAUGAAAAACUAUUGUUGUCAUUGACCGGCUUUACGAAAUAUUGGCUUACGUUUUAAUCAUCUGUUGAGCAUCAGGCACUAUCCUGGGCACCUGUGAAUCCAUUUGGUCCUCGCAGCUAUUCUAUGACAUGGGCACAUUAUCCUCCUUCACAGAUGAAGAAACAAGUUAAAGAGAUGUUCCCAAAAGAGUUAAGUUAGGAGCAAAGUUAAUACUUGAACCCAAAUCUGUUUCCAGGGUUUUUAUGCCUUUCACUACACCUGCUUUGCAGGAAAGUGAUGAGAAUUUCUAGUAGACGCUGAGUAGGGGCGGUGCUGCACGGCACUCACUGUUUCUGAGAUACUGGUGAUGGGACAGAUAACCGAGAAGGAGACACUGGUGAAUUCUGAAAGGAAGGUGUGCCUCAGCAAAGGCCGCAGGGGAAGACAGGAGGUUCGCUCGCUCACCUUUAUUUGGAAAGCCUUCCUCCCACAUUCCCUAGCAAUGCUAGUCAGUCCCAGGGGUUUGGAUGGGGCUGGCUGCCCGUGGCCCCUGAUCCAGGGGUUGGGGGCAUUGUUGGGAGCAGAGUCCUCCAUGGGACUUCUGCUAGAGCAAUCAGUGCAGACGUGCUCUUGUUUGGGGAUUGCGAUCUGAAGGCCCCCAGAAGCUUGCGACUGCAGGCAGCCAUCUGUCCAGAGACCACCUAAUCAAGAAACCCCUGACACCCUCAUAGGAGACGCCUGCCAUCCAGCUGUACCUAGAGGAGAUCUACCACCCCCUCUGUAACUUUCAGUUUUGUGAAUCAGCACAUUCAUUCUCUCUCUCUCUCGAUCUCUCUCUCUCUCUCCAAAGUGGCAUUUGUCUAGAUGGCUCAGAGUGUGGUCCUCAAUCUUGCAGAUUCGGAUUCAGUUCUGGGACAGCCUCACUAAAUUGCCCUUUUCCAGCCUGUUUCCUCCCUGUAGACAUUGGCAGGGUGCCUGGCAAGCCCAGCCCAGGCUCUUGUCUGUGACAGAUCUGUCACCUUUUAACUCUUUCCCAGGCUUCCUUGUUUACAUUAACAUGUUUCCAGCCAGAGCGGAGAGCCGUAAACAUCUUGAGGGCUGGGGCGGUGUCUGACUCAUGGCUGGAUUCCCCCAAGCCAAUGCAGAGCGGGAACCUAGCGACACUCAAACACGUUUAAGAGUAAAUUUCUGUUUGAGUCACCAAAGUAAAGAAAUCCAGUCCCCAGUACCAAUUGAAAUAAACCACAAAACACUUUGCCGAAUGGAAACUUGUUCUGCAAUGGUAAAGCAUGACUUUAACUUUAGCCAAAUUACUUCCCAGGAGUUAAACUAACUCAUGAUCUCACUGUCCACUGAAAAAAACUGUUCUUAGUCUGUUUGAGCCAUUGUAAUAUAGACUGGGUAACUUGUACACAGCAGACAUCUAUUUCUCCCAGGUCUGGAGGCUGGGCAUCUGAGAUCGGGACCAGCAUGGUUAGGUUCUGGUGCAGCCCAGAGCAGCAGGAGCUGUGCCCUGGCCCCUGUCCUGAGGAGCUCCCACUGGUCAGCCCCGCCUACUCCAGCUGGACCUUGAUGCUUCACACAAGGUGUGCGCAGAGGACACAGGCACUUCAUGGAGCAACAUACUUUUGUAAAAAAAAUGAAUUCCCUUGUAACAAAUAGAGCACGGAGGCUUUUAUAGAUUAAGUAAUUUGUAGUCUUCUUAUAAUUAUGGCUUCUAAAUUACCUAAAAUAAUUCAUUCAAGGCUUGAUUUUAGUUUUGUCUUGAGAGUGUCAACUCUUUAACUUGAGAUGCUGUAGGAUGGGGUUUCAUCUUGGGAUUCUUUUCUUGGAUAUGUCAUUUAAAUUCUGAUACUUAUAUUCCCUAUUUGAAAACACAUGAUCAAUGACAAUACCAAUACCUGAUUUGUGUGCAAUACUUAUAAUUUACAACGUACAUUAUUUUAACAUACAUUCUUUUCAUGCGACCCUCUCAACAACCCUUUGACAAGGCAAGUCAGAGACUAAUUACUAGAGAUUAUUCAAGCGACUUGCUCCAAGUCAUACAGUAGGCAGGCAGCCAAGAUGACUCUAGUUUUUCCAACUCCUAGUCCCACACUCUUUCCUCUCCCCUUACAUGUUCUGAUAUAAAUCAAACUUAGGUUUGAAAAUAUCUUAUUGAUGUAUUUCAACACCCCAGAAUUUGAUGAGACUGGAAUCGAUUUGUUGUGAUCUGUGAUUGCUGAAUUCCUCGUAUGUGGUGGAUACCAAGGUAAGUUGACUAGAAUGUGAGCUUGCCUACCCAGACACCAGUUCCCAUGUCCUUUGUCCGGUGGUAUAAUUUGAAGUUCACUCUUUUUGGUGUACAGUUUUAUGAGUUGAGUUGUGAAAAACAUAUACAGUUGUGUAUCCACCACUACAGUCAAGAUAUAGAACAGUUCCAUUACCUCAAAAAUUUUUUUCAGGCCGGGCGCAGUGGCUCACGCCUGUAAUCCCAGCACUUUAGGAGGCCAAAGCGGGCGGAUCACGAGGUCAGGAGAUCGAGACCAUCCUGGCUAACGCUGUGAAACCAUGUCUCUACUAAAAAUACAAAAAAAUUAGCCAGGCGUGGUGGCAGGUGCCUGUGGUCCCAGCUACUUGGGAGGCUGAGGCAAGAGAACCGCUUGACCCUGGGAGGCAGAGGUUGCGGUGAGCCAAGAUCGCGCCACUGCACUCCAACCUGGGCGACAGAGCGAGAGUCCAUCUCAAAAAGAAAACAUCAUACUCUUUUGUAGUCAACCCUAGCUAGGCCCCUAUAGUUUUGCCUUUCCCAAAGUAUCUUAUGCAUGGAAUCAUCCAGGAGAUAACCUCCUGAAUCAGGCUUCUGUCUCUUAGCAUAAUGCAUUUGGGAUUUACCAUGUUAUUUCAUUUAUCAGGUUUUUGUCCCUUUUCAUUGCUGAGUAGUAUUUCAUUAUAGGAAUGUACUCUCGUUUGUGGAUCAUUCUGAUCAACUCAGCACAUGUGGAUUAUUUCCAGUCUUGGCAAUGAUGAAUAAAGUCACUCUAAGCAUUCACGUACAGGUUUUUGCAUGAAUAAAAU
rnacentral:lncRNA from 1 species